UACGUAGGGGGCAAGCGUUGUCCGGAAUCAUUGGGCGUAAAGCGCGUGUAGGCGGCUAGGUAAGUCUGCUCUGAAAGCCCGGGGCUCAACCCCGGGAGGCGGGUGGAUACUGUCUAGCUCGAGUCCGGAAGAGGAGUGUGGAAUUCCUGGUGUAGCGGUGAAAUGCGCAGAUAUCAGGAGGAACACCAAUGGCGAAGGCAGCACUCUGGGACGUGACUGACGCUGAGACGCGAAAGCGUGGGGAGCAAAACAGG
rnacentral:rRNA from 1 species